rnacentral:rRNA from 1 species
AAACCAACAGGGAUUGCCUCAGUAACGGCGAGUGAAGCGGCAAAAGCUCAAAUUUGAAACCCUCGGGAUUGUAAUUUGAAGAUUUGGCAUUGGAGAAAGCUAACCCAAGUUGCUUGGAAUAGUACGUCAUAGAGGGUGACAACCCCGUCUGGCUAACCGUUCUCCAUGUAUUGCCUUAUCAAAGAGUCGAGUUGUUUGGGAAUGCAGCUCAAAGUGGGUGGUAAACUCCAUCUAAAGCUAAAUACUGGUGAGAGACCGAUAGCGAACAAGUACUGUGAAGGAAAGGUGAAAAGAACUUUGAAAAGAGAGUGAAAUAGUAUGUGAAAUUGUUGAUAGGGAAGGAAAUGAGUGGAGAGUGGCCGAGGUUUCAGCCGCCCCUCGUGGGCGGUGUACUGCCGACGCCGAGUCAUCGAUAGCGAGACGAGGGUUACAAAUGGGAGCGCCUUCGGGCGUUCUCCCCUAACCCUCCACACUGCCAC